CCGGAACCAGUUCACGAGGUGCUGCACCUUUCCAUUCGUUUCAGCAGUGCAGCAAUGGCGGCAUCUGAACCACGCCAUUCGUUUCAAAAGGUGCAGGAGUGGUGCAGCACUGGUUCACGAUUUUCCUGCACCCUCUAUGCUGACGGUGCCGGCUUGGUGCAGUCUUGCGCGUGCGCACUAGCAGCUGAGCAGAUGACUCAAAAUACAGGCG
rnacentral:lncRNA from 1 species